rnacentral:lncRNA from 1 species
GACCAUAUAUCUAAAACAUCUUAAAAUUUUGUUAUUGAUUCAAAAAUAUAAUACUGAUGUGUAUUAUACAAAUUUAAUUAUAUGAAUAAUGUACCACCUCUCAAAUGAGAUACAUAACACAUAACAUAAUUACAAAUAUUCUAAUAUAUUCUACCAAAUAAACUUUGAUAUCUUAUAUGACAAAAAAAAAAAAAAAAACAAGUCAAACAAACAUGUCUUAUCUCA